rnacentral:rRNA from 1 species
UACGAAGGGUGCAAACGUUGCUCGGAAUUAUUGGGCGUAAAACGCACGUAGGCGGCUUAGCAAGUCGGAAGUGAAAUCCCACGGCUCAACCAUGGAAGUGCUUUCGAAACUGCUGAGCUUGAGUACAAAAGAGGAUCGCGGAAUUCCCGGUGUAGAGGUGAAAUUCGUAGAUAUCGGGAGGAACACCAGUGGCGAAGGCGGCGAUCUGGGUUGAUACUGACGCUGAGGUGCGAAAGCGUGGGGAGCAAACAGG